UACGUAGGGGGCAAGCGUUGUUCAGAAUUACUGGGCGUAAAGGGCGCGUAGGCGGCCUGGCAAGUCAGGAGUGAAAGGCCUGGGCUCAACCGAGGAACUGCUUUUGAUACUGCCAAGCUAGAGUGCGGAAGGGGCAACUGGAAUUCCCAGUGUAGCGGUGAAAUGCGUAGAUAUUGGGAAGAACACCUGAGGCGAAGGCGGGUUGCUGGGCCGACACUGACGCUGAGGCGCGAAAGCCAGGGGAGCAAACGGG
rnacentral:rRNA from 1 species